rnacentral:snoRNA from 1 species
CUCCUCUCAGGGUCGCAACCGGAGAGUUUCCAGCUCUCUACCUGUCUUGACUAUGGGAGGGAGAGUCAAGCAGAGGCAUACCCAUUCUAUUCCUAGCUUGGCCAGUGGCUAGCAAGUGGAAGGCAAUCUGCUACAAGU